AGGGCGGGACACGUGUUAUCCUGUCUGAAUAUGGGGGGACCAUCCUCCAAGGCUAAAUACUCCUGACUGACCGAUAGUGAACCAGUACCGUGAGGGAAAGGCGAAAAGAACCCCUGUGAGGGGAGUGAAAUAGAACCUGAAACCGUGUACGUACAAGCAGUAGGAGCACCUUCGUGGUGUGACUGCGUACCUUUUGUAUAAUGGGUCAGCGACUUAUAUUCAGUGGCAAGGUUAACCAUCUAGGGGAGCCGUAGGGAAACCGAGUCUUAACUGGGCGCCAUAGUCUCUGGAUAUAGACCCGAAACCGAGUGAUCUAGCCAUGGGCAGGUUGAAGGUUGAGUAACAUCAACUGGAGGACCGAACCGACUAAUGUUGAAAAAUUAGCGGAUGACUUGUGGCUAGGGGUGAAAGGCCAAUCAAACUCGGAGAUAGCUGGUUCUCCCCGAAAGCUAUUUAGGUAGCGCCUCGGACGAAUACUACUGGGGGUAGAGCACUGUUAAGGCUAGGGGGUCAUCCCGACUUACCAACCCUUUGCAAACUCCGAAUACCAGUAAGUACUAUCCGGGAGACACACGGCGGGUGCUAACGUCCGUCGUGGAGAGGGAAACAACCCAGACCGCCAGCUAAGGUCCCAAAUUACAGCUAAGUGGGAAACGAUGUGGGAAGGCUUAGACAGCUAGGAUGUUGGCUUAGAAGCAGCCAUCAUUUAAAGAAAGCGUAAUAGCUCACUAGUCGAGUCGGCCUGCGCGGAAGAUGUAACGGGGCUAAGUUGUAAACCGAAGCUGCGGCAAUAUCUUUUAGAUAUUGGGUAGGGGAGCGUUCUGUAAGCCGUUGAAGGUGUGUUGUAAAGCAUGCUGGAGGUAUCAGAAGUGCGAAUGCUGACAUGAGUAACGACAAGGGGGGUGAAAAACCUCCCCGCCGGAAGACCAAGGGUUCCUGUCCAACGUUAAUCGGGGCAGGGUAAGUCGACCCCUAAGGCGAGGCCGAAAGGCGUAGUCGAUGGGAAACGGGUUAAUAUUCCCGUACUUCUUACAAUUGCGAUGGGGGGACGGAGAAGGCUAGGUGGGCCUGGCGACGGUUGUCCAGGUUCAAGUGCGUAGGCUGAGUGUUUAGGUAAAUCCGGACACUCUUAAGGCUGAGACACGACGUCGAGCUACUACGGUAGUGAAGUCAUUGAUGCCAUGCUUCCAGGAAAAGCCUCUAAGCUUCAGAUUGUAAGGAAUCGUACCCCAAACCGACACAGGUGGUCGGGUAGAGAAUACCAAGGCGCUUGAGAGAACUCGGGUGAAGGAACUAGGCAAAAUGGUACCGUAACUU
rnacentral:rRNA from 1 species